UACGUAGGUGGCAAGCGUUGUCCGGAUUUACUGGGCGUAAAGGGCGCGUAGGCGGCCUGGUAAGUAGGGGGUGAAAUCCUGCGGCUUAACCGCAGGGCUGCCUUCUAAACUGUCAGGCUAGAGCACGGUAGAGGCAGAUGGAAUUCCCGGUGUAGCGGUGGAAUGCGUAGAGAUCGGGAAGAACAUCAGUGGCGAAGGCGGUCUGCUGGGCCGUUGCUGACGCUGAGGCGCGACAGCGUGGGGAGCAAACAGG
rnacentral:rRNA from 1 species